CGGGUAACGGGGAAUCAGGGUUCGAUUCCGGAGAGGGAGCAUGAGAAAUGGCUGCCAGAUCUAUGGAUUGCAGCAGGUGCGAAAAUUAUCCACUUUUGGCAUAAAGAGAUAGUGAUGAUAAAUAACGGAUCUGGGCAUUUGUUCAGAGAUCGUAAUGAAAUAAUCGUAAAAGCUUUAAUGAACGCAAUUGGAGGGCAAGUCUGGUGCCAGCAGCCGCGGCAAUUCCAGUUCCAAUAGUGUAUACUAAAGUUGCUGCAGUUGAAAAGCUCGUAGUUGGAUCUCGGCUUGCUAGCGCGCGAGGCGUGUGAGUAGGCCUUUGCUGUAGUUGAGUGCUACGGCUUUACCUUGAACAAAAUAGAGUGCUUAAGGCAAGCAUUCUGCUUGAAUAUCUCAGCAUGGAAUAAUAGAAAAAGACUUUUCUGUUGGUUUACCAGUAGUAAAAGUAAUGAUUAACAGAGACAGACGGGGGCAUUCGUAUCGCACCGCUAGAGGUGAAAUUCGUAGAUCGGUGCGGGACGAACUACAGCGAAAGCAUUUGCCAAGGAUGUUUUCAUUAAUCAAGAACGAAAGUUGGAGUAUCGAAGUCGAUUAGAUCUCGUCGUAGUUCCAACUAUAAACGAUGCCAACUAGCACUCCGCUAAUAAGUAUUAGUACGUUAGCGGGUUGCUUCCGGGAAACCAAAGUCUUUGGGCUCCGGGGGAAGUAUGGUUGCAAAGCUGAAACUUAAAGGAAUUGACGGAAGGGCACCACCAGGAGUGGAGCCUGCGGCUCAAUUUGACUCAACACAGAAAAACUCACCCGGGCCGAACACAGUAAGGAUUGACAGACUGAUAGCUUUUUCUUGAUACUGUGGGUAGUGGUGCAUGGCCGUUGUUGGUUGGUGGAGUGAUCUGUCUGGUUAAUUCCGAUAACGAACGAGACUCAGGCCUACUUACUAGUUGUUCGAUUGCUGGUCGAUCAACUUCUUAGAGGGAUCAGUGUUUAAAACACUUGAAAAUGAGCAAUAACAGGUCUGUGAUUGCCCUUAGACGUUCGGGGCUGCACGCGCGCUACAAUGGAGAAAGCAGUGGGUGUCUUGCUUGGCAAAGCAAGCUGAGCCUUAAAAUUUCUUCGUGACAGGGAUCGAGGCUUGUAAUUAUUCCUCGUGCACAAGGAAUCGUAUUAUUCUCUGUUAUUUCAAACCCUAUCUUUUUCUUCUCCGACUACCUCGUCCGUUUAAUUAUGUUUCCCCGUUUGUCCUUCGCUUGACUUACUAAUAGCAACACUAUUUUAUCCACAUUUUACCUGUUCACAACCUUUUUUCUAACACAAUAAAAAUAGUUAGUUUACCCCUCUUCAUAAACAAAAAAACCCAAUCCCCUGCGCUUUACACUUCCCCGAGAACUCUUGACAACACAUUUUAAACUCCUGCCGAUGUUCCCGUUAGACCCCAUCGAAUACUACACUUCUACACUCCCAACAACAUAUUAAGACAAUCACCCUAGCCCCUACUAAUUCUCUUCCUCCGCCCCUUUGGUUUCAAUUCGUAUUAGGUCUUUGCUCGAUCGGAGGACGCAUUGUCU
rnacentral:rRNA from 1 species